UGGGGAAUUUUGGGCAAUGGGCGAAAGCCUGACCCAGCAACGCCGCGUGAAGGAUGAAGUAUUUCGGUAUGUAAACUUCGAAAGAAUAGGAAGAAUAAAUGACGGUACUAUUUAUAAGGUCCGGCUAACUACGUGCCAGCAGCCGCGGUAAUACGUAGGGACCAAGCGUUGUUCGGAUUUACUGGGCGUAAAGGGCGCGUAGGCGGCUUAACAAGUCACUUGUGAAAUCUCCGGGCUUAACUCGGAACGGCCAAGUGAAACUGUUAAGCUAGAGUGCAGAAGGGGCAAUCGGAAUUCUUGGUGUAGCGGUGAAAUGCGUAGAUAUCAAGAGGAACACCUGAGGUGAAGACGGGUUGCUGGGCUGACACUGACGGUGAGGGAUGAAAGCUGGGGGAGCAAACCGGAUUAGAUACCCGAGUAGUCCCUGAGCGGGCUGGCAAGGCGCAU
rnacentral:rRNA from 1 species